rnacentral:lncRNA from 1 species
GGUUGCUGGAAAGAUAUUUAUUGUAUAAAAACAUCAGUCUCAUCAAAGGCAAAGAGUUCAGAGAGUUAAAGUCCGUGCUAAAAGCUUUUGGCAAAAAGUCCCAAAUUCUGAGCAGCAGCUCUCUGGUAUAAAGUCCUGAUGUCCUGGACAUGGAGUCCUGUUGUCCUGGGCCACAGAAGCAGUUGGUGAUGAUGAUGGUGCUGCUCUUCUUCUUCUUUGGGUGUGUGUGUGUGUCUGUGAUCCCCAAUAUAGGGGAUUAACUUAGCAAAUCAUCCAAACAGCUAAAAACAAGAUUCUAACCCAAAACUUUUUACACUAAUCCGAGCUUAAUUCUAAUAUGUGAAAACACUGUUCUCUUUAUCUAAAUCUUACGUAUAGGUUAGUACCCUAUCUGUUCUAUCUAGAAAUGUAAGCUAUAUUUUCAUUAUGUCUAGAGCUAUGUUGAAUCUGUGAAGGGUAACACUGAACUUUAAACUGGAUAAUAAGGCUUUUCACUAGCUAACACAGACUCUUAAGGCAUUUAAGUUAUAUUUUUACUUACUUAAAACUAAAACCUACACUAUUAUAUUAUAUAUAUAUUAUAUACACUAUAUAUAUUAUAUACACUAUAUAUAUAUAUAUAUAGUGUAUAUUAUAUAUAUAAAAUCUACGAGAACCAGGAGCGGUUUCACCUGGCGGUGGUGCGAGGGGGGAUGCGAGCUGGAGCUGAAACGGCAGAACGGGCAGUGAAAUAAAUAAAGCUUGUGGGGCUGGAGCUGAAAUCACUGUCGGGAUGGCAGAGUGACUGCUGGGAUGUGAAAGGGACAUUUGGGAUGGACUGGCUACUGUCGGGGUGCGAUAGGGACUAUCGGGAUGCGAAGGGGCUCCAAGCCCGGCCAGUCCCGGCCCCCCCUUCAGCGCGGCCGCGGUCCCGCCAAGCUCAGGCCGGGCAGCCGCGGCCCGGCCCCUCAGCCCGGCUGUCCUGAGGCGCAGCUCACACGGCGGCCACUUCGGGACCCCGCGGAGCCGCGGCCCCGCUACCGCAGUCCCGGCAGCUCUGGGCUGCAGUGAGAACCAGGAGCAGCUUUUAGCUGGAGGCAGUGGGAAGCUGAGGAGAUGGAGCUGAGGCAGCACGGCUGGCAAGACAUAAACAUGGUAGGGCUGGGGGUGAAACCCCUGUGGGGCAGGGACAAGGUAGGGACUGGGGGGUUGGAGAUAAAAUAAAGAUCUUGCUGAGAACCUGUAGCCA